rnacentral:rRNA from 1 species
UGGGGAAUCUUCCGCAAUGGGCGAAAGCCUGACGGAGCAACGCCGCGUGAGUGAAGACGGCCUUCGGGUUGUAAAGCUCUGUUAUAUGGGACGAACGGGUGUAUGGUCAAUACCCAUACGCCGUGACGGUACCGUAAGAGAAAAGCCACGGCUAACUACGUGCCAGCAGCCGCGGUAAUACGUAGGUGGCAAAGCGUUGUCCGGAAUCAUUGGGCGUAAAAGGGCGCGCAGGCGGUUCGGUAAAGUCGGUCUUAAAAAGUGCGGGGCUUAACCCCGUGAUGGGAUUGAAACUGCCGGACUGGAGUGUCGGAGAGGAAAGCAG